CGGUAACGCGGAGAGCUUGCUCUCUGGCGACGAGUGGCGGACGGGUGAGUAAUACUUAGGAAUCUGCCCAGUAGUGGGGGACAACUCGGGGAAACUCGAGCUAAUACCGCAUACGCCCUACGGGGGAAAGCGGGGGAUCUUCGGACCUCGCGCUAUUGGAUGAGCCUAAGUGGGAUUAGCUUGUUGGUGAGGUAAUAGCUCACCAAGGCGACGAUCCGUAGCUGGUCUGAGAGGACGAUCAGCCACACUGGGACUGAGACACGGCCCAGACUCCUACGGGAGGCAGCAGUGGGGAAUAUUGGACAAUGGGCGCAAGCCUGAUCCAGCAAUGCCGCGUGUGUGAAGAAGGCCUGCGGGUUGUAAAGCACUUUCAGUAGAGAAGAAAAGCCUAGGGUUAAUAGCCCUGAGUCUUGACGUAACCUACAGAAGAAGCACCGGCUAACUCCGUGCCAGCAGCCGCGGUAAUACGGAGGGUGCGAGCGUUAAUCGGAAUUACUGGGCGUAAAGCGCGCGUAGGCGGCUCUGUAAGUCGGAUGUGAAAGCCCUGGGCUUAACCUGGGAAUUGCAUUCGAUACUGCAGAGCUAGAGUAUGGUAGAGGGAAGUGGAAUUUCCGGUGUAGCGGUGAAAUGCGUAG
rnacentral:rRNA from 1 species